CCAGCUCUCCGAGUAGUAAGGAUGUUUAUUGGGCUUAAAGCGUCCGUAGCCGGCUCAGCAAGUCCUCCGUUAAAUCCAGCGAUUUAAUCGUUGGCCUGCGGGGGAUACUGUUGAGCUAGGGGACGGGAGAGGCCGACGGUAUAUCCGGAGUAGGGGUGAAAUCCUAUAAUUCCGGGAGGACCACCAGUGGCGAAGG
rnacentral:rRNA from 1 species